UACGGGGGGGGCAAGCGUUGUUCGGAAUUACUGGGCGUAAAGGGCUCGUAGGCGGCCAACUAAGUCAGACGUGAAAUCCCUCGGCUUAACCGGGAACUGCGUCCGAUACUGGUUGGCUUGAGUUUGGGAGAGGGAUGCGGAAUUCCAGGUGUAGCGGUGAAAUGCGUAGAUAUCUGGAGGAACACCGGUGGCGAAGGCGGCAUCCUGGACCAAUACUGACGCUGAGGAGCGAAAGCCAGGGGAGCAAAGCGGG
rnacentral:rRNA from 1 species